rnacentral:rRNA from 1 species
GUAGGUGGCAAGCGUUGUCCGGAUUUAUUGGGCGUAAAGCGAACGCAGGCGGGAGAACAAGUCAGCUGUGAAAGCCCUCGGCUUAACCGAGGAACGGCAACUGAAACUGUUUUUCUUGAGUGCAGAAGAGGAGAGUGGAACUCCAUGUGUAGCGGUGAAAUGCGUAGAUAUAUGGAAGAACACCAGAGGCGAAGGCGGCUCUCUGGUCUGUAACUGACGCUGAGGUUCGAAAGCAUGGGUAGCGAACAGGAUUAGAUACCCUGGUAGUCCAUGCCGUAAACGAUGAGUGCUAAAUGUUGGGAGGUUUCCGCCUCUCAGUGCUGCAGCUAACGCAUUAAGCACUCCGCCUGGGGAGUACGACCGCAAGGUUA